rnacentral:lncRNA from 1 species
AUAACGUUGAAAAGCGGGCCCAGAAACAAGUUGAAGAUCAAAAGAGAAAAAUUGAGUAUUACUGAACCAACGAGUGGACCCCAACACGUUCUAUAAAACCAACUAAGAGAUGGUUAUGUUAAUGUAGCAUUCCCUGCAAAGUGCGAACAUCAUCUCAGGUUUUAGUUUCAUUCAUUCAUCGUACCUAACCAUGCCUCUCUCUCAACCUUGCCGGAAAACGAGCCUUCGAAAACGGUGCUUUAUGGUGGCGAAGCAGCAGAAAACGCGCUUCUACAUAUUCGGACGCUGCAUAGCCAUGCUCCUCUGCUGGCACGACCAUGCUAUCUCCGAUUAGAUGCUUCACUUUAAGCUAUGCAGCCAUGGAAAUUUCGAAUUUUUCCUUGUGGGCACCCUCGGAAUCAUGUUAUUGCUUUUACCACACUCGAGCAGAGGAAGAAUCACAAGAAGGGGUGUGGGAAAGUGGAGGGUCUGGUUCAAGAAUGAAACGGGUUUUGUCGUGCGUGAUUGAGGUUGGGUUGAAGAAGUCUCGGAGCACAUGGUGGAAAAAUUGAGUCUUUGAAACGGAUUGCUUACGGUGUCGGUUGAUCAUGGGAAAAGAACUUGAAAUUUGACCCGUUUGAGUUGAGUGCCAGAAGUUGGGUACUUGAUUCGCUUUGCUGCUGUGCAACCAUCGUUGUAAUUAUCUGACCUUGUUUUGGACAACAAUUAUAUUGGGCUGAAACAAGUGUGUCUUUCCUUGAUAAUUAGUUUGAUUCACAAAUUGGUUAAGGUUACCAACUACUGUGAAUUUUGGUUGCUGUCCCUCGCCUAUUUUUAAACGGCUUGAGGGUUGGCACCGAAAGUUUGGAUCAUGUACUCAGCUACAAGUGUAAUGAAAGAUUGUUGUUCUUCUUUGUUGACAAAUAGCUUGUGACAUAGUUAACUAGAAUUUUUCACCAUUCCCUUAGUAGAUCUGUUAUCAACUGGUAAACUUUUGAAAUCUUCUUGUGUUCUGAGUAUUAAGUACUGAGUAAAAUCAUUGCCUAUUUCAGUGAUUAUGUUAUGUAGGUAGAGACAUGUGAAAAGGAACUGAAUAUGAAAAUUUCUGAUUGUUUCAUGAGAUUUUGGAAUGCUGGCAGAACAUACCAAGAGUUUGUUCUGCUCUUGAUUCAUUCAGUUUACUCUUUGCUUAGGUAUAUGCAUACGAUUUUGCAGUUAAGAUUUUAGAUGCAUUUCCCGAAUUCAUGUGGGUGAUGAUGAGAUGUGAAGGCAAUAGGAAUUUGAAUGAAAUUAUUGCAUAUAGUUGUAAACAGUGAUAAGAUAAGUGAAAUUUGCCUACUUUUUUAGGGGUAUGGUAACUAGUCAUGUGACCCACUUUGUACUCUAUCUUUCUGUAUCAAUUAUAGUUCAAGUUAGUAUGAUGUUAACUCAAUCAUCACCUUUUUUUUUUAUGUUAGCUCUUGAUCAACUCUCACACAUCAUAAACCUUAAACCAGAUGGAUUUUCUUAGCAGUGACAGAGAAACCUGAUAUAGACCUCACUGUGCACUUCAUGGUGACAGAUUCCACAUGCAAUUCUACUUUUUUGUUCUUCUUUAAUUAGCUGAACAUGGGGAAUGACAUAUAAAUACAUGGAUUCAUUUAUCUAUUCAUAUAUUCAUUUGACUGUAUCUAAACUAUUCAAGAAUAUGAGAUGUCUUUCUUGGAUCCAACUUUGUGUUUCUUUGAUCACAUGCUUGGUCACAAGUACGCAUUUAAGAUCUUUCCGUACUUCCUUUACGAUGAGUCUUAUGUUUUGUGAAGUGUGCAUACAAUAAAAUAUUUGUAGCACUGGUGUUUGAUGCUAAUGCCAUGUUAUUGAUGCCUUAGCACAUGCAUCUGCGAUCCCAUUUUAUAGUUUAGGAAUGCAUGAAAGGAAAAAUUAUAGUUGUUGUGCUGUGUUCAUAUUACAAAAUGAAACACCCCAAUAGCAAUUAGCAUCUAAAGUGUUACCAGAAAUCAUAAUGUCAUGUUAUGAUUGAGAGUUGAGGGGGUUCAUUCUUAUUUUUGAGGUGGAAAUGUGCAGGUAAAUAUUCAAAGAGAACGUUGUACAUCCAUGUAUUCUUAGCUAAGUUACUGAACAAAUGAAUGCCGAACUAGGAAGUUUUGAAUCAACUGUUGUAAUAUAAAUUCUGGCUUUGAUUAAAAAUAAGGGACACAUUUGCAUGAAUACUUUGUCAAAAAGACUUUCGAUACAGGAACCAUAGUGUAUUCAUUUAAACAAAAUGAGUCUAAUGUACAUAAGAAAUUGAUAUCACAUCCGACACAAGAGAUAAUAAGUUUAUAGAUCAACUUGAUGUGAGUUACAUUUCCAACACAAAGCUAUGCAACUGAUCAGAUGCAAGUAUCCUAUUUGAGGAAAUACAAACUCCAAAACAUUAUUUUAUCAAGGUUUGUGGUGAACAUAGAAAUUGAUCUCAUUCACUUGUAUUACAGGAAGAAAAGGAAGGGACAAAUUCAGUCGCAAGACUGGUACAAUAUUUUUCAUCUCCACAUACAAUGCAAAAUCUAAAAAUUACUAUGUUUGGCAGAAAGAGUGCUUAGGCAACAGGAGACACUAUAACUUGAUCAAUAACAGGGCCACAAAGAGAUCCAUAGUCGUGAAUUCUUGUAUGGUAGAAAGAGCUGUAGAAUGUUAUUCGAGUUCUGUUUUCAAUUGCUCUGAACUUGAAGCUCACAGUCUUGAAUUUUCCUUUUCCUUCCGAUUUGAAGGGAACUUUGAGGGUAUCUUUUGCUGC